AAAUAUUUUCUUAUCUGUCCAAAGUCUGCAAUCAUUUUAAUAUGCAAUAUCAAUUAGCAAAAUCCGAAAAAACUGAAAUGCCUCUCAUACCGACUUCACGAAAUAUUCAUAACACUCAAGGCUCCUAUCCUUGACAUUACAUUUUUGCGUACUUAGAAUUUUAUCUGCCUGACUAACCCAAAACUUUUCGAGUUUAUUAGUCGAGAACGCGAGGUGCUACGUUAAUGUUUAUUUUAACAGUAGAAGAGACUCAUUGUCAGAAAUUCUUUUCCGCAAACCUAGAAUUUCACUGGUCUGUCUGGCGUCGAACUUUCAGGGCUUAUUAUUUGAGAAUGCGUGAUAAGACGGGAAUGCGGUUUUCACGACGAUGACUUGUCUUGAUGGUAGAACAGUGUCAUACGUUUCAAAUUUUUCUCGGGCACACCUGGAUUUACAUCUGUCUGUCACAUGACUUUCGGAGCUUAUUAUUCGAGAACGCAUAAUCGGACCGGAAUGCGGUUUUCAUGGCGAUGACUUAUCUUGAUAGUAAAACAGUGUCAUGACAAACUUUCGGAGAAAAUAAAUUUCAAAUUUUUUUCGCGUACAUCUGGAUUCACACAUGUCUGUCACAUACCACAAACUUUUGGAGCUUAUUACUCGAGAACGUGUGAUCUGACGGAAAUGCGGUUUUCAUGGCAAACUUAUUUUGAUAAGAGAAUAAUAUUAUAUGCCACCAAACUUUUGAGGCCUAUUACUCGAAGACUUGUGUCAGGACGUUUUUAUGAUUAUUCCAUCUGGCCUCGGCGAAUGGAGAACGUCGCUACCUGGCAACUGUGAUAGUAGGAGUAUUACGUUGACGAGGUGACGCACAGUCGCCAUCGAGAUGCCGGACGCUUUAUCCUUUUGACGCAACCAGCAAAGUUUCUAUAUCAAUAUACAACGACGAAGAGUUGCACAUAAUCAAGUAGGACUUGGGAGACGGCUGAAUCAAUUCUAUUAUUUGACACAACAAUAAAGUUCUUUAUACAAACUCAAUAUGGUAGUUCACUCAACGAUUUCUCAGAGAUAUAAUAAUAUAAUAUUUAUAUAUAUGUAUUAAUAUUAUAUAUAAAUAUUAAAUAUUUAUAUUUAAUUAUUUUGAAAAUUGCUGUCGACUUAAAAUAUGUGUGAAGAAACAAAUAGCUACAAGUAUCUUUUACCGAAUAGAAUACGCCGAGUAAACUUUAAAUACACAAACGAAUAUAUAUACAUUGUAAUAGAUACAUGGAUGUGUACAUUGAUAUUUUGAAACACUAGAAAUGUUCCGUUAAAAAAAAAAGUAAAAUUAAAAAGUGCACUAUAUUUUCUACAUUAAUUGGUAAUCUAUACAACUCCAAUGUUCAAAAUACAUCCUAGAGGCAUCCUAGAGAUAUCACAUAUCUCUGGUAUGUUCCUGGAAUGUAUUUUGAACAUUUAUGCUGUAUGAGAGAUACACGAGAAGCAGUAGUCGAACUUUAUAGGGCACGGUUUUAUCCAAAAUGUGUUUAUAAAUUAAGAUUUGGUUCCACUACUUUUUGUAAAAUAUACUUAUAAUAAAUUGUACACAGUAACAGCGAGUGACAAAGUAUAACAUUUUA